rnacentral:misc_RNA from 1 species
AACGCACGAGACCUGCGGACCUGCGGAAGGAUCAUUACCGAGUUUACAACUCCCAAACCCCUGUGAACAUACCACUCGUUGCCUCGGCGGAUCACCGCGCCCCGUGAAACGGGCCGGCCCGCCAGAGGACCUAAACUCAAAUGUUUUAUUGUAUCUUCUGAGUAAAAACACAAAUAAAUCAAAACUUUUAACAACGGAUCUCU